GCUUUCCGGUCCCACCCAGCCACUCUAGGAGCAGGCCGCCGGCCUCUGCCCACAGGAAGCACAGGUGACCACAGGGCCACACCUCUCCUGCCCAGACGCACAUCUCAGCGGUGGGACACUCGCCUCCCCGCAAGCCCUACACAGGUGGCUUUACCACAGCACAUUUACCACGGCCCGGGAGACCCAGAGGGGGAUAAACCUCCGGCUGCGCUCUGGCAUCAUAAGCAGUGGCACACAAGGACCAAACCCUGACCCAGGCUAUGAUCCCGGGGCCUGGAGCACAAACCUGCGAACAGAGAAGGGGCGAACGACUGCCGUGUGUACGAAAGGUCCGGGCCUGGCAGAUGCAGAGACAGCAGAGGACAGAGAUGGCCACAUGGGCUGCAGGAUGACGAUGUUCUAGAGUCCACGGUGGUGAGGUCACACAUGGCUGUAUCUGUCCCCAACCUGCCGGUGGACUGCGUGCCCACAAGCCACUUCUCAAUAAAGCUGU
rnacentral:lncRNA from 1 species